rnacentral:lncRNA from 1 species
CAUUUUACCCUGAAUCACCCCUGCUGUUCCACCUGCAGCAGGGGCUGGCAGGAAGUCUUGAUAGCUUGUGGAUUUAUAUAGGGAUUUGGAAUCCAGACAAAGACUCAUAACUGUAUGUUGGCUCUCGCUUUGUGCCUCUCUAAAGAAACGGAGGCUGAUUUUUGAUGUAAUUCUUUUAGGGGCAUGGCUUAGAGAUACCAAAGCAGGGACUCUGGCUAGAGUUAAAAAAAAAAAGUCAACUCCCUGAACCGAACGCACUGAGACCCUAAGGACACGCUUACGUUAGAAGGAAAGUCAAUUCCAUCCUGUUCGCCCUCUGAAUACCUAGCUGGAUAGGCUGGCCUCAGGUAGUGAAGGCUAGGUCCUUGAUCUUAGAGAAGCCACCCCUGACUGAAAUAAAAUUCCAGCUGAAUAUGUCUUUUAGAAUUUUUUAUUAGCCACACUAAAAAAGUAAAAGAGGAGUUCCCUGGUGGCUCAGUGGGUUAAGGACCAGGCAUUGUCAUGGCUGUGGCAUGGGUUUGAUACCUGGCCCAGGAACUUCUGCAUACUGUUUUAUGAUACUAAGUGGAAUGGAGUUCCCAUUUGGGUUCAUUACCCGCUGAACCACAACGGGAACUCGCUCUAUGCCCGUUUUUGAGGCACACAAUGCUCUUCUCCAAAAACUCGUGCCUUCUUCUUUCCAAAGCUGUGGGGCUUGGAGGAAAUAAAGAUGAUUUGAACCAGAGACUGAAAGACAAGUGUCAGAGCCAUCUCGUAUUCAAAGAACAUCUGGGUUUAGAGAGAAAACUAGCCUCCUCGAAAAUGACAGAUUUGAUUAUGGAAUCCAGACUGCCCUCCACCCACGCAGUCUUCAGUGAAGAGGUAUUUUUCAUUAUUAAAAUCCCAGCACUCCCCUGAGCAGUGACAGUCUCUUUAACCAAAUGGUGGAGUGUUUUUGUGAAGUGUUUACUUGCUUAAUUCAUCAAACCCUCUCUGAACUCAGCUGUUAUGUGCUUGAGAGAAUUUUAGCUUCUAAUUUUUAUUUAAAAAGAAAUAAACAUGUCACUUUAAGUACAAUCAUUGGAGCAAGAGGAACAAUCUACAUGGUUUGCGUCCUUCCUUUUGGAUUCUUUUUAACUCCAUCCUGUUCAAAGAGCCUCGAGUCAGCCUCAUGUUGAUGAGAUGCUUUUGCUGUAGAAUUUCCCUGACUGUGAGGCAGUAAAUGUUAAGUCAAUACUCUUUUUAUACCCAUCAAAGUGAUGCUUCGCUACACAAACCCCCUUUUCCCUGUGCUGCUGUAGUCGAGGAUCCAGAAAAUUGUAUAUGGCAGUGCUCUAAACACCGUUACUCAAUCUGCUCCCUGGAACUUCCAAACCCUGUUUAGCUGUUCAAUUCUCCCUUGCAGGAUCACUGGAGAGCCUGCCUUCACCCCGAAGCCUGCUGCUUAGAGUGCUUUAUGACACUCAAAUAUUAUAUAACCCAGUUUUAGAGGGAGGGGUAGGUGGGGGGAAUGGGCGAAAUAAGGCCAGGGGUGUUAGCGAUGCCAAAAUGUCAAAGUGAUGGAUUUUAAAGGCAGUCCUUAAGGACAUUUGGAACUUCUGCACCAGAGUCCACGUCUUCAUUAGGCCCAGGCUGAGGGUGUUCUCGCAUUGACCAUGAAAACUGCUCUCUGAAAUCCAAGUCUCCAGGUGUCCUGCUCUGGUCCCAUGAUCACGAGAUGGUCAGUCCAGGUGAUGGGAGCUGGCCUUGCCCAGCCUCCCAGCACAGUGGCAGGUGCCCAUGCUCUCAUCGUAAUUGCUGUCCACAGCGACUUAGGUCGCCGUGUCUAAAGCCUCUUCCAUGGCCCCCGAUGUACUGGAGGUGAGGAAAGAGCGCCCCAUUGGCCAGCUCACCCAGUUUAUGGAGACCCCCUUAGUGGAUCUCUCAGGCUUUCUAGCUCCGCAGCCUUCCCACCCAAUCCCCUCGGCGCUCAGCACACACGCUCCUUGGGAACACCUGAGAACACAGGGAGUUACUCUGCCCAGCGGAGAACCCCCUGUUCCCCAAUUCUCUGCCUUUAAGUCAGUGACUCAGGCAAAGAGAUGUUCUGGAAACCCCUCUGCUCAGGGAAGGCCCACUUGAGAAGGUCAUUGCAAGACCUUGCUGAGGGUCUGUCCUGCUGUCCCCACGUGCACUCACAGACACUCAUGCUGACUCUGGAAAUAAUCCCCAAAGUGCUUGGUCACCACAGCUUCAGGGAGCCACCUCCUGCCCUGUGAGCAGCUCCGUUUCCCAUGGUGGGCUCUGCAGGUGGUGUUAUUGCUGGGAUCUUAGCGGGGGGUUAGAAUCAGGGCAUCCCAUCCAAGAAUCUCACCCCAUUUCAGCUUGGACACUGUGCCCCACCACUCCGCACCAAGCACCGGAGGUCAGGCUCUCACCUCCUCUGCCCCUUCUCUCACUGUUCAUAGGAAGUCACUUUCACUUUCUCAAGCGGCAAGAACGCCCCCCUUGCCUUGAGCCAAGUUAUUUUUUCCUGCUGCUUCUAUCUUCUGACUUCAGUUUCGCCCUCCAGAAUCAUAAUAGAUGAUAAGCCCAUUCCCAUCCUGGUUUGGAGAUGGUUCUCUCGUCCUCCCAGGCCUUCUUGUUUUAGUCCAAACACCCCCAGUUCUUUUCAUCAGUCCUCACUUGCUAUAUUUCCACUCCCCUGAUCUCAUGGUCAUUUAUGGACAAGCUUGAGGUUGGAAAGGAAUUGGGCUCUUGCAAAAGUCCUUCCAGGCUUGAGCUCUGUGAGUGGUCUGCUCUGGGCAGGAUGGGCAAGAGUGUUUAUCAUCUUCUGCAUGGGCAUCAGACCUGCCGUUGGGGUGGCUUUGGAUCAGGGGAGCUUUCUUGGAACUUCCCUGCAAGUCACACCGAGGAAUCCUUUGAGGGCUGUCUUCUCAAACCCUCGCCCUGAGUCUCCCUGUGGAUUCUGCACCUCGUGUUUGACCUUUGGCAGAACUCAGACCUCCUCUGUCUCUUCCCUCCCUCGGCAGCAUCCUAUCCUUUUUGCAGAUCCAGGCAUGGAGCUCAGCAACUUUCCUGGAUGUUGAGAACCAUCUGUUUCUGUGCCUGGCUUAGGUGAGCCAUGGGACUUCUGGUUCCUAAAGUCUCUGACCAUUGUCACCAGCCUGGGCUCCUGGUUCUUCCACCAGUUUGCUCUCUCCUUUCUCCUCUGCUCCAGUGCGCCCCCUGUUUGCAGUAAACCCUCAAAUCUUCCUCCCUUUAAAUACACAGAACAGUUGUGCUUUCCAGUUUUUCACUCCCAGACUAGACGCUGAACCUCUCCGCAGACCAGAAAUUCAUCAGGAUCCUCCCUACGCAGUGGGGCGUCCGCCUGAAGAGUUGCUCCUUCUCUCUUCCUCAUCAAGGCCUUCAAGAAGGAGAGGGCCUAGAGAUUUUGUUCCACUGCUGUUUGGAUUGUGUUUUGGUCCUCAGCUUCUAAGAAGACAGGGCUGCAGUUACCAGGUUAGAUUUUGUUUCCAAAAACAAUGGUUUCCUUCCACUGCCAUUCGAAAGCCUUGAAGGCACUUCCUGUUCCCCAAGGAAGUCUCUGGAACAUUCCAAGGAGCCUCAUUGGCCCCAGUACAGAGGAGUCUGAGGGGGACUUCUAGCUCUUACUGCUUCAUGGGGCCGCGAGAACGGCUGCUUUUGUGGGGUGGGUCCUUUGUCCCUUUCACCCCAGGCUGGGAUAAUGCCUAAGAGGCUGAUCGCUACCCUCUUUGCCAAGGUUCCGGGAAUACUACAGUGAAAGAAAUAAAUUUCUAAUUGUCUAAAACCAUUGUGGUUUGGAGCCAUUCUUUCGGGCUUUAGGGCUCAAUCUUGGAUCCUCUGGUGGUUCCUUUAAAACAGCCUGGAUGUGGUCCUCUCCAUCUCGACUCACUAAGCCAGCCAGUAUUUACUGAGCACCUGCUAUGAUCCAGGAACCUGGACAUGUACUAAAACACAGCAGGAGGUGACACAGCAUCUUGGAGUUCACAGCAUCGUGGAGAAUGCAGAUGCCAGAGCAAAUUAAUCCCAGGGUAAUGAGAAUCACAGCACGGAAAAUUCAAACUACAUAUCCUCUGCUCCCUCUGAAGAACAUGAUAUGUGUGUCUUCUUGGCAAGUACAUUUUAAAGCGCUCACCGUGGACUUCAGCACACCGCAGGGCAAUUAUUCCUGGGUAUUUCAUAUUUAUUGUCAUGACUGCAUGUGGAAUUUUCCUCCCAUUACACUUUCUGCCAGGUUAUUAUUGGUGUAAAACGAAAGCCAUCGAUUUUUAUGGAUUUAUUUUGUAAACCGGACACCUUAUUAAACUCUUUUAUUGUGUUUUAAAAUUUGGUAAUAGCUUUUCCACUGCGGGCAAUUUUCGCUGACCUCUGGAUGCUGUUCUCUUUCCAGGACUGCCUUGUCUCUGCCAUCGCAGUGAGAAUAAACAUAGUGUAUUAAAAACACUCUGGAGGUCAUUCUGUCCUGCUCCUUGGAGCAAGUCCACGUCUCAGGGGACACUGGUUCUAACUCAUCAGAACUUCGCCUUCCCUGUAACUCCUGCAUCUCUUGUAUGUCUUGAUCGCCUGCCUUUGAAUGCUCACCAGGGAGUGUUUGCUCCUGGCAGGGCUUUGAGGUGGUGGCUUCCAGAGAUCCCGUGUGUGUUCACGUGUGUGUGUGUGUGUGUGUGUUUUGAAAUCCUCAGUCUCAGAUAAAAUAGGAAGGUGUGGAUUUUAAUGAGCAUGGAGGAUGGACUCCCAGCAAUUGGGGCGCAUUAUCCUGCCAAUUCAUUUCAGCAGCAGCCACCCUCAUCUUUCCCCAAUCCCGCCCGCCCCCACCUGCUUCUAGAAACUUCCAGAUAUUCACCGCCCACUGACUCAGGAUCUGCUCCCCUGUCUGUGGCCCCUGUGAGAAGUUAGUCCACUUUCUGGGGGACGCUCAUGCUGGGUUCACUGCUGAAUUUCCAGCGAUUCAAUCACUGCUUGGGCCCUCUGUGUGAAAGGAAUGAAUUCACCAGCCCCUGCGUACCUGCUCAGCGCGGGUCACUGAGAGGGUUAGGGAGGGGGCCUGGAACAAUCACAGGUAGGGUUUUCCCCUCCAAGUGCUGCCCGGCCUCCCCCGACCAGAAGUCUCUUGUCCCCGGGUGGGUGCCGGCUCCCUUUCCUGGCCGUCCCCACUUCUGCCUCGGGGUGGCUAGGAGCCUGCGUGGAGCUGGCUCCCCGCGAGGACCCAGUGCGGUUGCUGUGCUCGGUGCACCGACUGGCUGCCAUCCUGCUCUAGUGGUGGGUCCUUGCGGCCCUGCAUUUGGCGAUUUCAGGGCAUUGUCGACAGAAGUAAUUAAUGAACCACCUAUAAUAGGAAUAGAAAAGAGUUUUAUCUGAGCCAGACUGAGGACUGACUCUCCCCGGGGAAACCUCUCCAAGAACUCUAAGGAACUGCUCUGGAGAAGCAUGGUUUUCAUUAGUUUUAUACCUCGUUAGAGGAGGAACACUAAAGAAAUCAUGGAUACAUUCCUUCGCGUUUUGGGGUUUUUUAUGUGUUUGUUUUAAAGACAGCUAGUAGCCAAUCAGUAUGGCUUUGACACCCAGGAAAGGACUCUUAUCAUCGAAGAAGCACCAGCCUUGCUGUCCCAGGAAGGGUGGGAUUUCAUCUUUAUUUUUAAGGUGGACAUUCUUCACUUCUGGUCAAUGCACCAUUUUCUUUAAUGAUUAAAGCAGGUGUACAAUGUAUGUUUGAGAAGCCACAAAUGGGCUGCUUUAGUUAACCUAAAAGUCCAGGUAACACCAAAAGAAACUCAAUUCCCGGUUGUUGCUUGCCAGCCUGUCAUUGACACCUUCUAGAGAAAUCCAGAAAGUUCCAGUAUUAAACUGCUGAAUGGAAAGGACCAUCCAAGCAUUUUUUAAAAGAAAAAGAAAAAAUUGCUGUGUCAGCAGCACGAACAUCGAUGAGACUAAACUGGAAAGACAUCCACAUGUGUUAGACUGUAAAUAUGCACCACAACGUGUCCCUAUAGCAUAAACAUCUAAAUCUAAAUAAGCCUAAAUGGAAAUUCUGAGGUCCUAGAAGGCAUUUUGUCAUAGUUUAAUUGGCAGCUUGUUUCUGUUUUUCUUAGUGGUCCCUAAAAUGAUGAUUCCUCUUAUAAUUGUUAGUAUCUUAGAUUUAAUGAAAUACCCGAUGCCUCCCCAGAAAAUACAUUGUCAGAGAUUUUGAUGGUUUCUGCCCUGAUUUUUCUUCACGAACCUCUCUUCCCCAGGCUAGAGUCUUUGUUAGAAAUAACAUACUGCCUGCCAUGUCAAUAAAUAAUCCUCAGCAAUUGCAGUCACCUCCGAGGCUGAGCCAGCGAGCCCCGAGGCAACUCAGGAAAGUACCAAAGAAUAUCUGCCAUCUAGCAGCCACCAGACAGAGCCCAGCCACUCCCAAAGGUGCGCUCUGAGGAAACUGAGGAUGUGAAGACACAGACACUGCCCCAGACAGCUGAGGUGUACAGCGAAGGAAGGAUUUCAGUGAGCCCAGUCUUUGCAACGUCCCAUAUGUAGAAAACAACUAAAUUCCUUAACUUGAGAUAUUUGGCUUUCCUUUUCUUUUUCUUUUUUUUUUUAUGGCUGCACCUGGGACAUAUGAAGUUCCUUGGGGCCAGGGGUGGAAUCAGAGCUGCUGUAGCUUGUGGCAACACCGGAUCCUUGACCCACUGAGGGAGGCCAGGGAUUGAACCUGCAUCCUCACAGAGACAACGUCAGGUCCUUAACCUGCUAAGUCAUAAUGGGAACUCUGGGUUUUCUGUUAUUUUUGUUGUUGUUGUCUUUUUUGUCCUUUUAGGGCUGCACUUGUGGCAUAUGAAGGUUCCCAGGCUAGGGGUCAAAUUGGAGCUACAGUUGCCAGCCUAUACCACAGCCACAGCAACACAGGAUCCGAGCUGCGUCUGCAGCCUACAUUCCAGCUCAUGGCAACACCAGAUCCUUAACCCAUUGAGUGAGACCAGGGAUCGAACCCGAAACCUCAUGGUUCCUAGUUGGAUUUGUUUCCACUGUGCCACGACGGGAACUCCUGGGUUUCCUGUUAUUAACAGUAGUCUUUUGUUCCUACCUGCUCUUUGUCCUGUAUAUCCCAGCUCCCGCCUCGCUUCCUUGGACCGCUUUUCUCAGGGUUACUUGAGAUGCUGCCGCCUAGGGCUUAAGUCCUCAUUUUGCUCCAAAUAAAACUUAACUCUCAACUUUUAGGUUGUGCAUAUUCUUUCAGUCAACAGUUUCCAAAGAAACAAUGCAGUUCAAAAUUUGGAGAUCCGUCUUCUAUCAAAUUGCAAAAAAGUGGAUAUCCUCGUGCCAAAUUGUGUGUUUUUAUAUCCAGACGUCUUACUUGUCCUGAGAGGAAACACAUGCUUUCUGGAUCCAAGGUUGACUUACUGACCCAGCCAUCCUCGUGCUGGUCGCUCAUGGGCCGUCUUCCCUCGGGGAACCGCUGUGAGGCCCAGAUGACUCUGCAUGUCUAGGGGCUUGCACCCCAGGGGAAGGACUCCAAGACUGAAUCUUGAAGCUAAUAUAGGAGCUGAGGGUCCAUCUGCUCCCCGUCCCCCCCACCCCCAACCCAGAGAGAAAGAGAGGGAACAGGAAGGUCCUCAGGUUCAUUACCCUUUGGAACGUCAACACCUGUCUCCAGGGGCAAGAGAGCUGACCAUCUCGCCAGGGGCCGUGAUCUUCAACUUGCAACCCGCACUGCUGUGCUCAUGGCUGUUCAAGUGGCUUCCACUCCAGGUGCCACCACGCUGCUCAGACAUCCCUGACCCUGACCCCAUCGAAACUUGAAAAUAGUCAGUGUUUCCCAACAAUCCUAUUUAAGGCAAUUAUUUAAGGCAAUUUCUAAAGAAGAGUCCUGUUAAGCUCUACUGUGUAUUGAAUGAAGUGAGACAGAAACUCAGAAUCACCAAAAGUCCAUAAUGGAGAAUGAGACGGGGAGAGAGAGACAGAGAGGGAGGGAUUUUCUUCAUGCAUUAACUACGGGGAGAAGCUAAUACCUUAAAGGGACCAAGGACAGACCUGACUCUGGGGCCAGAAUCAGGAGGGGAGCGCUUGGCCGCACCAGGGGGAAGGGGAGGGGGCAGGAGAAGCAGUGCGGACACUCAGGAGAUGGUCUCUUUGUGUGCCUUGUGGGCGACUGUUUCUCUGACAUGCAACAUCUCUAGCCCACGGCAAACAAAAAAGCACAGACCACUUGAUGUGGAAGGCGUUUUGUGGGAAACUGCUGGCGAGGCAGGUUCUGAGGCUCAGGGUCGGUCAGGGCCAUCCUGUGAGGCCAGAGGGGCCCAGAGGACAGAGAUGCACGGACAUCAGGUGAGGGCUCCAGCCAGCCACGGGCCAUAGUGCUGGGAUGGGUGAAGUCCACCCAGACCUCCUGGGGCAGGGACCCUGAUGACGCGUGGGUGACAUUUUAUGUCUAUUUUUCAAAGAAUGGCGAUGUGGUGAUUUGUUGUCUCAUGCUUUGUGGCGUGAUAUUUCUGGGUCCUGUGUAACCGCAUAUGGGGCAGUGAGCCUGGGAAUAUGGAUUCAAGUCCAUCACAGGCCGCUGGUCCUUCUCAACUUCAUGGCGCAGGUGAUGUCUUUCCAUCUAGCUUCUUCCCUACUGAUGCUACGGCUGAGCAGGGUCAGGUAAGCGACUCCAAUUGAAAAAACAAUGCAAGAGAGUGCCCUGGUGUUUUAGCAGGCUGGGGGCCUGGCGUUGUCACUGCUGUGGCUCGAGUCACUGCUGUGGCUCAGGGUCAAUUCCUGGCCGGGGAACUUCCACCUGCCAUGGGUGUGGCCAAAGAAAAAAGAAAAAAAAAAAA